rnacentral:lncRNA from 1 species
AAAUGGUCUCAGAGAUCACACAAGCCUUCCAGAAAGAGCCCAUCUGUCUCUUCUGUCUGAACUAACUCGUAGAUCCCAUCACCACAGGCUGUGUCCCCAGCUUCUGUAGACCCUGUCUCUGCCUUUCCUGGGAAGAAGCCAAAAUUCCUACCUGCUGCCCACAUUCAGGGAACCAUCACAGCAGGAGGACAUCAAAACCAAUAUUCUUCUGAAGAAUCUAGUGUGCAUUACCAGGAAAACCAGUCUCUGGCAAUUCCUGAGCUCUAAUGAACAAAUGUGUGGAACCCACAGGGAGACAAAAAGAUAUUUGAAGAGGUGGACAAGAGCCUGCUUCAUUUGCUGUUCUGGGACACUCAGGAGCACCAGGAUCACAGACACU